rnacentral:rRNA from 1 species
CCUACGGGAGGCAGCAGUAAGGAAUAUUGGUCAAUGGACGAAAGUCUGAACCAGCCAUGCCGCGUGAAGGAUUAAGGCCCUCUGGGUUGUAAACUUCUUUUAUCUGGGACGAAAAAAGGGUAUUCUUACUCACUUGACGGUACCAGAGGAAUAAGCACCGGCUAACUCCGUGCCAGCAGCCGCGGUAAUACGGAGGGUGCAAGCGUUAUCCGGAUUUACUGGGUUUAAAGGGUGCGUAGGUGGGCUUGUAAGUCAGUGGUGAAAUCUCCGGGCUUAACCCGGAAACUGCCAUUGAUACUAUAGGUCUUGAAUUAUCUGGAGGUAAGCGGAAUAUGUCAUGUAGCGGUGAAAUGCUUAGAUAUGACAUAGAACACCAAUUGCGAAGGCAGCUUACUACGGAUAUAUUGACACUGAGGCACGAAAGCGUGGGGAUCAAACAGGAUUAGAUACCCUGGUAGUCCACGCCCUAAACGAUGGAUACUCGACAUCAGCGAUACACUGUUGGUGUCUGAGCGAAAGCAUUAAGUAUCCCACCUGGGAAGUACGAUCGCAAGAUUGAAACUCAAAGGAAUUGAGG